rnacentral:lncRNA from 1 species
ACCCUCUAAGAUUCAUUGAGCUAACUAACUUUUAAGUUCUAACAUUUGGUACAAUGAAUUAUCAUUAUCAAAAAUAAACGUGCUGAAUGAGAAAUUGAUCGUUAAUAGUUGAGAUUGUUUUCUAUGGAAUUGAACAGUUCAUUAACCUGUUCGAUAGAUUUAUAAAAGUGGUACUGUUGAAAUGAUCUAAAUAUAACAUCAUUAAAAUCAUCCAUACAAUGAUUCACAUGUCCUUGGACUUUUAAUAUAUUAAAGUUUAAAAGGCAUAUUACUCGUACAGAGAUGCUUCAUAGCAUCUAGUUUGCUCCUUCUCUCACAUAUAUAUUAAUUAUCUGAAUUAAUUUAAAAAAUUACAAGAAAAUGACAAACGACUCCGAUUCAAAUUGUGCAGUUAAAUUACUCAACUUUUAAUCAAAAUCCUAGUAGAUUGUUUUCAUCCGUUUGACGGUCUUAGGUUGAACCAAUGUUACUUGGAGGCCAAAUCUCGUCAUAUAUAUAAUAUUUCCCAACAAAAUAUUUAUUUUGAGGUGUCAAAAUUUUAAGAAGUAAUAUUUCAAAAAUUGUUUGGUAGGGGAUUUGACAUUUCCUAAAUUUGAGUCCUCAAAAUUAUAAUGAGGUAUUGAGAAUUUAUUGAGUAGACGACAAAAAUAGUAAUUGGAUGCCAAACAUAACCAAAGCAACUGAAAAAUGACAAGACGAGGUGCCCAUUGAAAAGUCAUAGGCGCCCAUUUGAUCCGUAUAUAUAUAUAUAUAUAUAUAUAUAUAUAUAUAUAUAUAUAUAUAUAUAUAUGUAUGUAUGUAUGUAUGUAUGUAUGUAUGUAUGUAUGCAACUCUACUACUUAUACAUACUUUGCAAAGAGUUUAGUAAACAAGUAAGAAUAUUGAUCCAUACACAAUCAAUCAACAUUCCAUCACGAUGAGACUAUGGAGGCUUUAAAAAUAGCACUUUUUAUCAUUGCAGUACUUUCACAAGGUGGUAUGGAUUGAUAAACAGAAGCUUGCUGUGGUUGAUACUGGUAAACGCAAUCUACCUUUUCUUGUGCAUGUUCAUAUGAUGAUGGUCUUGCUAGACCAUAAUUAGGUUUUGGUGGUGUGCGAGGUGAUCUCUUCUUUUUUCCAAAGCACUCGUCCAAUAAUGCAAGUUCUUCGCAGCCAAUCUUCACAAGACUUUCUUUAUCGGAUUGAGAUUCCAUGUCUCCUGCAAGUUAAAGCUGUAGAGAAGUUACAAGAGAAUGUAAGGCCAUUCCUUUGAUAUAAAUAUCAUAAUGGCCAGUGGAGAUUAAAGUAGAAGGGAUAAGAAAAAAUAUGAUUUUCUAGAUUCCUAAU